CAGGGGUCCCUGCAAAGCCAGCUGCUGGCCCUGCAGCUGUCCCUGGAGCUGGCUGAGCGGGAUGGUGUGGGUCCCAUGGGGGAGAGGGGUGCCUGCUGGGGGAGGAGGAGCAGAUACAUCAGCCUAAAACACUCCUGAUGGCCCCGCUAACCCUGAUACUAAAGGCCCUGCUGUACCCUGAUGCUAAAGGCCCCGCUGUACCCUGAUGCUAAAGGCCCCGCUGUACCCUGAUACUAAAGGCCCCGCUGUACCCUGAUGCUAAAGGCCCCGCUAUCCCCUGAUGCUAUAGGCCCCGCUGUACCCUGAUGCUAAAGGCCCCGCUAUCCCCUGAUGCUAUAGGCCCCGCUAUCCCCUGAUGCUAUAGGCCCCGCUGUACCCUGAUGCUAAAGGCCCCGCUAUACCCUGAUGCUAAAGG